rnacentral:rRNA from 1 species
AGUGAACGCUGGCGGUAGGCCUAACACAUGCAAGUCGAACGGCAGCACAGUAAGGGCUUGCUCUUACGGGUGGCGAGUGGCGGACGGGUGAGGAAUACAUCGGAAUCUACUUUUUCGUGGGGGAUAACGUAGGGAAACUUACGCUAAUACCGCAUACGACCUACGGGUGAAAGCAGGGGAUCUUCGGACCUUGCGCGAUUGAAUGAGCCGAUGUCGGAUUAGCUAGUUGGCGGGGUAAAGGCCCACCAAGGCGACGAUCCGUAGCUGGUCUGAGGGGAUGAUCAGCCACACUGGAACUGAGACACGGUCCAGACUCCUACGGGAGGCAGCAGUGGGGAAUAUUGGACAAUGGGCGCAAGCGUGAUCCAGCCAUACCGCGUGGGUGAAGAAGGCCUUCGGGUUGUAAAGCCCUUUUGUUGGGAAAGAAAAGCAGCAGGUUAAUACCCCGAUGUUCUGACGGUACCCAAAGAAUAAGCACCGGCUAACUUCGUG